rnacentral:rRNA from 1 species
AGUGAACGCUGGCGGUAGGCCUAACACAUGCAAGUCGAACGGCAGCACAGUAAGAGCUUGCUCUUACGGGUGGCGAGUGGCGGACGGGUGAGGAAUACAUCGGAAUCUACUUUUUCGUGGGGGAUAACGUAGGGAAACUUACGCUAAUACCGCAUACGACCUACGGGUGAAAGCAGGGGAUCUUCGGACCUUGUGCGAUUGAAUGAGCCGAUGUCGGAUUAGCUAGUUGGCGGGGUAAAGGCCCACCAAGGCGACGAUCCGUAGCUGGUCUGAGAGGAUGAUCAGCCACUCUGGAACUGAGACACGGUCCAGACCCCUACGGGAGGCAGCAGUGGGGAAUAUUGGACAAUGGGCGCAAGCCUGAUCCAGCCAUACCGCGUGGGUGAAGAAGGCCUUCGGGUUGUAAAGCCCUUUUGUUGGGAAAGAAAAGCAGCAGGUUAAUACCCCGCUGUUCUGACGGUACCCAAAGAAUAAGCACCGGCUAACUUCGUG